CCUCCCCUUUUUCUUUUUCUUUUUCUGAGUGAGGGUUUUCCCUCUGCUCUUGGUGGGGUCGCGGGAGUGCGAGGGGGUCAUUGGGAAGGUUUCCUUCUUUCUAUCUGGUCUUAAAUGACCAGAUCUUGACUGGCGUCAGGACGGGGUUCCUCUCCUAUUUCUGACAUAAUUGAUUUUAGCUCAGGUUAGGAUGAGGUCCUCCCCUUGUCGCUAACAGGGCUAUGGGGGCGCAUAUGGGC
rnacentral:lncRNA from 1 species